AAAUUGAAGAGUUUGAUCAUGGCUCAGAUUGAACGCUGGCGGCAGGCCUAACACAUGCAAGUCGAGCGGUAGCACAGAGAGCUUGCUCUCGGGUGACGAGCGGCGGACGGGUGAGUAAUGUCUGGGAAACUGCCUGAUGGAGGGGGAUAACUACUGGAAACGGUAGCUAAUACCGCAUAAUGUCGCAAGACCAAAGUGGGGGACCUUCGGGCCUCAUGCCAUCAGAUGUGCCCAGAUGGGAUUAGCUAGUAGGUGGGGUAACGGCUCACCUAGGCGACGAUCCCUAGCUGGUCUGAGAGGAUGACCAGCCACACUGGAACUGAGACACGGUCCAGACUCCUACGGGAGGCAGCAGUGGGGAAUAUUGCACAAUGGGCGCAAGCCUGAUGCAGCCAUGCCGCGUGUGUGAAGAAGGCCUUCGGGUUGUAAAGCACUUUCAGCGGGGAGGAAGGCGUUAAGGUUAAUAACCUUGGCGAUUGACGUUACCCGCAGAAGAAGCACCGGCUAACUCCGUGCCAGCAGCCGCGGUAAUACGGAGGGUGCAAGCGUUAAUCGGAAUUACUGGGCGUAAAGCGCACGCAGGCGGUCUGUCAAGUCGGAUGUGAAAUCCCCGGGCUCAACCUGGGAACUGCAUUCGAAACUGGCAGGCUAGAGUCUUGUAGAGGGGGGUAGAAUUCCAGGUGUAGCGGUGAAAUGCGUAGAGAUCUGGAGGAAUACCGGUGGCGAAGGCGGCCCCCUGGACAAAGACUGACGCUCAGGUGCGAAAGCGUGGGGAGCAAACAGGAUUAGAUACCCUGGUAGUCCACGCCGUAAACGAUGUCGAUUUGGAGGUUGUGCCCUUGAGGCGUGGCUUCCGGAGCUAACGCGUUAAAUCGACCGCCUGGGGAGUACGGCCGCAAGGUUAAAACUCAAAUGAAUUGACGGGGGCCCGCACAAGCGGUGGAGCAUGUGGUUUAAUUCGAUGCAACGCGAAGAACCUUACCUGGUCUUGACAUCCACAGAACUUAGCAGAGAUGCUUUGGUGCCUUCGGGAACUGUGAGACAGGUGCUGCAUGGCUGUCGUCAGCUCGUGUUGUGAAAUGUUGGGUUAAGUCCCGCAACGAGCGCAACCCUUAUCCUUUGUUGCCAGCGGUCCGGCCGGGAACUCAAAGGAGACUGCCAGUGAUAAACUGGAGGAAGGUGGGGAUGACGUCAAGUCAUCAUGGCCCUUACGACCAGGGCUACACACGUGCUACAAUGGCAUAUACAAAGAGAAGCGACCUCGCGAGAGCAAGCGGACCUCAUAAAGUAUGUCGUAGUCCGGAUUGGAGUCUGCAACUCGACUCCAUGAAGUCGGAAUCGCUAGUAAUCGUAGAUCAGAAUGCUACGGUGAAUACGUUCCCGGGCCUUGUACACACCGCCCGUCACACCAUGGGAGUGGGUUGCAAAAGAAGUAGGUAGCUUAACCUUCGGGAGGGCGCUUACCACUUUGUGAUUCAUGACUGGGGUGAAGUCGUAACAAGGUAACCGUAGGGGAACCUGCGGUUGGAUCACCUCCUUACC
rnacentral:rRNA from 1 species